rnacentral:rRNA from 1 species
GUCCACGCUGUAAACGAUGAUUACUCGCUGUUGGCGAUACACUGUCAGUGGCUGAGCGAAAGCAUUAAGUAAUCCACCUGGGGAGUACGGUCGCAAGAUUGAAACUCAAAGGAAUUGACGGGGGCCCGCACAAGCGGUGGAGCAUGUGGUUUAAUUCGAUGAUACGCGAGGAACCUUACCAGGGCUUAAAUGUAGAUUGACAGGUUUGGAAACAGACUUUUCUUCGGACAAUUUACAAGGUGCUGCAUGGUU